rnacentral:rRNA from 1 species
CCUACGGGAGGCAGCAGUGAGGAAUAUUGGUCAAUGGACGAGAGUCUGAACCAGCCAAGUAGCGUGAAGGAUGACUGCCCUAUGGGUUGUAAACUUCUUUUAUAAAGGAAUAAAACGCGGCACGUGUGCCUUUUUGCAUGUACUUUAUGAAUAAGGAUCGGCUAACUCCGUGCCAGCAGCCGCGGUAAUACGGAGGAUCCGAGCGUUAUCCGGAUUUAUUGGGUUUAAAGGGGGCGUAGAUGGGUUGUUAAGUCAGGUGUGAAAGUUUGCGGCUCAACCGUAAAAUUGCAAUUGAUACUGGCAGACUUGAGUUCAGGUGAGGUAGGCGGAAUGCGUGGUGUAGCGGUGAAAUGCUUAGAUAUCACGAAGAACCCCGAUUGCGAAGGCAGCUUACUAAACUGUGACUGACAUUGAUGCACGAAAGUGUGGGUAUCAAACAGGAUUAGAUACCCCAGUAGUC